UCUCAGCACACCAGUGAGACCCUUUACCUUCCCUAGGCCAAGGAGCCGGUAUCAGACACAACUACAGUCCACAACACCUAGUCUCACCACACCCCCAAGGGUACUCAGCAGUGAUAAAUAUUGAGCAUAAGCGAUAGCUUGACUCAGUCAGAGAAAAGAGAGCCGGCCAACCCGGUGCCAGCCGCCGCGGCUACCCCGUGGGCUCGAGUUGAUGAUCAUCGGCGUUAAGCGUGAUUAAAGUUCAUCUAGAUUAGGGCCAAACUAAUACUUAGUAGUAAAAAGCUUGUUAUUAAGAAGAACAUAAACGAAAGUUGCCCUAACUCAAUACUUGAAUACACGACAGUUGGGAAACAAACUAGGAUUAGAUACCCUACUAUGCCCAACCGUAAACAAUUAACCUACAUCUAUAAGCGCCUGGGAACUACGAGCUAUGCUUAAAACCCAAAGGAUUUGACGGUGUCCCACCCAACUAGAGGAGCCUGUUCUAUAAUCGAUGAUCCCCGAUAUACCUAACCACCCCUAGCUCAUCCGUCUGUAUACCUCCGUCGAAAGCCUACCAUGUGAACGUUUACAGUAGGCCCAAGGACUCAACACGUCAGGUCAAGGUGCAACUUAAGGAGUGGGAAGUAAUUGGCUACAAUUUCUAAUCUAGAACAAACGAAAGACAGUGUGAAAUCACAGUCACGAAGGCGGAUUUAGCAGUAAAAAGAAAAUAGAGAGUUCUUUUUAACCCGGCUCUGGGACGCGUA
rnacentral:rRNA from 1 species